UACAGAGGUGGCAAGCGUUGUUCGGAAUUACUGGGCGUAAAGGGCGCGUAGGCGGCUUUAUAAGUCGGGGGUGAAAGCCUGUGGCUCAACCACAGAAUUGCCUUCGAUACUGUAGAGCUUGAGACCGGAAGAGGUAAGUGGAACUGCGAGUGUAGAGGUGAAAUUCGUAGAUAUUCGCAAGAACACCAGUGGCGAAGGCGGCUUACUGGUCCGGUUCUGACGCUGAGGCGCGAAAGCGUGGGGAGCAAACAGG
rnacentral:rRNA from 1 species